GGAUGUGAGGGCAGUCUGGACAUUUGUCACCCCACUGAUCACCAGAGUUGACUGUUCUGACUGGCUAGGCGGGUGUCUCCUUCCUCCCUCACUGCCCCAUGCACAUCCCUCUGGGUUGAAGAGGACGACCCUUCCUGAAUAGAGGAGGGCUGGCUCGUAGGUCAAAGGUGUACAAGAAGCUGCUGUCCCCUUCUAGAACCUCCAGAUAAGCUCUCAAGAAGUAUAAUGAGACUGUAACUGUUGUAGGAACAGUUUCUUUUCUUUCUGUUAGAAUCCAGUGUAGAGAAGAGA
rnacentral:snRNA from 1 species